rfam:Gossypium raimondii Chr08_contig_362, whole genome shotgun sequence.
AUUCCAUGAUGAGGGCACUUCCGUAAUAAUCUUUGUACCUUUCCCAUGCCUCAUAAAAGGACUCAUCAUCCAUUUGUUGGAAAAAAGUGAUCUCGUUCCUCAACUU